AUAUUGGGUGGCUGAAGUGAGAAGGGGAAGAUGGCGGAGUGAGAGGAAGAAGCGAAAGCAGAGCUGGGGGCUUCGGCCCAGGGCCCUUAGCCGAGAUCUAUCCAUGCAUCAUCUUGACUGGCAUUACCAGAAAGCUGAAGGCAAAGGUGCUUGGUGAUAACAUGAUUUGUGCUGCCAUGAAGCAAAAGGGAAAAAUAUUCUUGUGGUUUCAGUCAGAGAAUUGAAAGCCAAGAAACUGCAGUGGUCUUAUGCAACAGUCCUUUCUUCUCCACUCAGCUAAGGCUGGAGCUUUGCCUGUCCAUGAAUGCACUUCUGAUGAAGAAAACUCCUUCCUUUAUCUCCAUGAGGGAAAGUAAAGAACCACUGCUCUGUUUCUGCUCCAAAUCAUUUACAUAAAAGUUGACUUAUGAGGCUGGUAUUACAGAAAACCUAUUAUUGCCCUUACAGUGUCAACUAUGCUAGUGCUUUCCUUGGAGUUUUUGCACUCUGGAAAUGAUUGUGCAUGCGGGAACUGGCAAAUGUCAGUUCUGGUUGGUAGUUUGCUUCAUUCAAAGUACCAUGGUGAGGUAACUGUCUGCCUAGUUCCUAGAUCUCCAUUGGAGAACCUAACAAAUAGAUGUCCUUGGAACAUGUAUUUCAGACCAUCUUAUACGUAAGAUCUUAGCAGAAUAACCAGGGUAGACAUAUGUUUUAAAUUGGAAAAAAAACUUAACUGGGAAAGAAAAACAGCUUGGAAAAUUUCCCAAUGGGAAUUUUUCUCCUCCUUAAAAGGGCCAAUUUAUAGAUAAUUAUCUUGUAAAGCAGCUGAUGCAUAACAGGUGAUAGUUAUUUUGUCUACUGUAUUUCAUACAUCCUCAUCUUUUAAAGCAAAACAAGUGAACAAAUCAAAUCUGCACAUAUAAAACUACAUAAUGGCUAGAAAGGGGAGUUACUGCCAGUUUUCUAACAUUUCUUCCAGAAGAAAAGAAGAUUGAGGGCUUAAAACAAGCAAACAAACAAAAGCCCAGGUGCAUUUAGCUUUACAUGGCAUCCCCACUCUUCCUAGGGAAUUCAGCAGCAAAAGGAACAAUAGCUUUCUCCAGUUCAAGCUUUUACCCAAAGGGAACAACAAAGAUAGUAUAAAAAGUGUAUGUAAAACUUUCCAGCGCUUAGAUGAACAAAGAUUAGACAUGCUCAGGAAGGGCUUCUUCAGCAGUUCUCUGGUGUGUUAUCCACAGUUAAGGUGGAAAUUUUGAUUUAAUGUGUUUAUUGAAGAUUCUUUGUCAUGUGUGAUUCAUACAGGACAUUUUCUUUCCACAUGGGAUCAUAGCUGAUCUUUAGCUACCGCAUGCCAGGGUAGGUGGCUUCCUGGUUUUAAAACAAAAAAGUCUUACGUACUAUCUUGUGCUGAACCCUGGAGCCCUUAGUAGUGCACCUUAUUUUAGACUUAUUAAAAUGUGAACUUAGAUUCGUCAACUAAUUUAAAAAGAAAUCCUCCAUCUAUGUUAGAAAUUGGAGAACAUAUAAUAAUGAUCAGCCAUGUUUAGCAACAUUUUGAGUGCUAUCUUAGGUCUAAUGAGAAGUAGCAAACGCAUUUUCUAUGAAGGAAAGCAGUGCCUGCUUGUACUUUAUUAUAAAAUCUCACAACACAUUCUUGUGUGAUUUUAUAAUAAUGAAUUUCAUGAGAGCACCUAAGCACUUGUAUUUGGUCAUUACUUCUUAUUUAAUCAUAAAAGGAUGCACAAAAAAACUUAAGACAUUUUCUUCAGCUGCUUUCCUUGAUUGAAAAUCAAGUUUGGAAAAGAAUGUUUAAUAGGAAAACGCAAACUGCUGACAAUUUAAACCUGUAGAACAUAAUCAGAUCUAUGACUGGUCGGUGUAGCAGGAGAAAUGGUUGGUUAGAUUGUUCAGAAUCAGAUUGGCUUUGAAUUAUUGAACUUCUGAGAUAAAAAAGAGUUAAACUAAUUAGAUAUCAUCAUAGACUGUCCUAAACAGGAAAUUCAUUAGUAUUCUAGAUGUAGAGCCAGACAGCUUAAAUAUAAAUUCUCUGUGAAUCUGAUACUGAAAAUUUAGAAGGCAUCAGCAUUGUGAUGGAUUGAUCAGUCUGGGUUUUAUGUUGUCUUAGCUACUUACACCUCAGAAAUAUUAUUUGUUGAAGAAUAUCAUAGUACAGAGAGGGAAUGUUCUUUAGUUUUUUUCCAAGUUGUUUGAAUGAAUGUAUGUGAGAGUGAUUAUACGAGUUGCACAAAACUCCAGUAAAGAACUUUACCCUAUCCAUCUGUUUUCCUCCAAAUCCCAUUCUAAUUAUAUACCCAGUUAUGCUGAGCAGGACUAUGUUAGGAAUGAAUUUAAAAUCUUAGAGAAACAGCAAGUCUUCUGUACUGGCCCAGGAAAUCCUCACGCAGUACCUGUCCUGUAGCAUCCUCUUACAGCACUGUGUAAAGGCAAUAUGCCUUAAUAUUUUGGUUUUACAUACUGAUCUGCAUCUCUGUCUCUAUGUUGGCAGGAAAUCUUUCCCAGAUGAUAGAUUUAAAAAAUAUGGGGCAUGUGCAAUAGUAUAAUAUAUACAUAUAAAUAUAUUUUAAUACUUGUGGACAAAAUGUUACAAGUUGUUUGAGAACAACAAAAUCACCAAUGUCUUCCAUUUUGAGAUGUGUAUAGUUCCAUAAGCAUUAGUGCUUUGUAGCAAAACUGUAGUGCCAUGUUAGGACCAGUGCAUGAGCCUAGUAGUGCUUUUUUUACAAUUUCAGAGUGACAAAUUAACAAUGCUGAUGGUGUAAUUCAUAAGAAUCUGACAAAAUUAUGAUCAUGGUCUUAAGAUGCAGUGUCCUUUCUAGGCAAUGUUAAUAGAAGACAGAGGUAUAAAAUCAGUUAAGUUUAUCAAAAGAAAUUACAAAAGAACCCCAGAUUCUAGUUUAACCCUUUUCUCUGUAAUAUUUAGCUAUAAUAGAAAAAUAACUGAUUAACUGAUUGUUUAGGUUCCUAGGGCCCAAUCUUGUACAUGUUUAGACACAAACAGGUAGAACUUUUCCCUGUCCUUUAAAUGUCCUUCCAUAUGAACAUACAUAGUGAUUAGAAUGACCAUAUGGCUCAUGUUCUUCAAAGAACUACAUGUUCUUUUAAAAGUCUCCUCAGUAUAUUUUUGUUUUCCAUUGAAAAGGCCUUGGAUUUUAAAAUCUUUUCUUCUGCUGUAUCAUCAUAAUAAUCAUUUCAUUUCUGUACUGCCUAUAGCCAAAGCUCUCCAGGCAGUUUAUGACAAAGCUUUUUAAUAGAUACACUUGUGUCAAAGUAUCACUGUAGUUCUUGAUCAGGAGUAGCUUCUUGCAAAAUUGACUAAAUUAGAACUGGGAUUUGUUAUUACUAAAUUAUUAAUAAUCUCCAGUAUUAAAAGCAAAUGAGUUCAAGUUUCUGUUCACCUAGGAAAUUGUAGGAAUUUCCUAAUAACUCUUGCUAUUGGGUUAUACUUAAUCACUGCAAUCCAGACACAUUGACUUGCAUUCGUUUAUUUAUGUCUCUAGGAUGUCUCUUUUCUUUUCUGAAUUUACUCCAAGUGGAUGACUCUCAUGUUUUGAUUCAAGCAAGUCACUUGAAUCAGUUUUAAGCCAUGUAUCUUUCUCUUUAGAUCUGUAGUUUGGACUGCUUCUAUUUGCUCAUUUUUAAAAAGUCAUAUUUUUAGCCUAAAGAGGAUGCUGCAUCUUUUUCUUGGUCUUGUCUGUAAAUGGCUGCCUUCGUUAGUGGAAUUUUUUUUCUGGCUUUGAGUUGAUUAUUGACUAACAAUUCAUAGAAAACAUGUAAUUAACUAUGAAGCAAGAGAUCUUGCAGAAUUAGUUUUACAUUUAAAGGUCACUGCCUAUUUCCUCCUGUAAAUUGCGAAGGUGGAUCAUUUACAGAUGACCUGUAAGGACCUGAGCUCUGUCAAGGUUUUGUUGUGUAUUUGUACCAUUGAAUUAAGUAGUAUUAGUGCUUGGGAGAAUCAAUUGAUGGAAAAAUACCUCUGAAACUGGAAUGCAAAAUAGCACAGUAUGUAGGGGGAAGAAUCCCUGAUGCAAAUAAAGCCAUAAGAUGACUUAAUAAAUAGAACUUUAGUAGCAAUAACUGUUUGCAUGUAAUAGGAACUAACUUGCAUUAGCAAGAAUUGUACAGUAGAAUAAAUGGUACUAACCAAAUAGGUUUGUGGUGCUCUGUGUUGCAGGGAGUUGCCUGAUGAGUUUCUCUUUAAAAAAUUGGCAAAUUCAUCUCCUCUAAGGAAUUUGGCUCAUGAAUGUUUCCAGGGCAGGGCUUGAUACAAACACCAGAAUAGCUAUUUUGUUUUUCAGAAUUGUUGCAACUAGAAAAGAAGCUGCUUGUGCAUGAAGAGGUGGAUGACUCCUUAUCCUGCUUGUCUGUAGAUAGCAUGUUGUUGAUACUCACCUCUGGGGUGAAAGAAAACUCUUUAAAAACUGUGAACAGGGCUAGGUUCUACCAAGAUACGUAAUUUAGGAAAUGGUGGAAGCUUGUUGCCGUUACUUGAAACUAGUUAGAUGUGUCAAAUCUGUUGAAGAAUUCAGACAAAAUACAGAUCAUCCAAAUAUUUCUACCAAGAGUUGUGACUGUCUUUUGAAAAUAUACUUUUGAUUUUUGACUUUUGCAAACCUGCUGUAUGGUUUUACUUUUUUUCUUUUUUUAAAUCUACUGUUGGAAGGGAAGAACAACUUUCAGUUCAGCAUGGCCAACAUUCGUUUAACUCCACCACUCUACAGCAUGCAGUGUAUACGUCCUUGAAAUGCAGCUUGCACUUAAGCGGGAUGCAUCUGCAAAGUGGUAUUGAAAGAGGCUGACUUUACCUUUGUUCUAUUCUUAAUUAUGGGGUCUCCAUUAUGUACCAGCUGUUUGAUUAACACAGUCUUGCUAAAUAGGAAUGAAGGCCCUAUUUUAAAAGGGAAAUCCAUAUAUAGCCUGUGCAAAGUUCUGCCCUUAUAUAUUUAUACUGGAAUAUGAAAGUAAUACCUUCCAAAAGAAUCAAGCAUAAACUUGUCAUGCAUGUGUGCUAAGACAACCAACAAAAAUUGCUUAACAAGUUUUGCCCACAGAAAUAUGUAGGGAAACUUUGCCCUUCAUCUUGCCAACUCCCCCAAGCAACACCACCACCAGUACCCUAAAGCCCAGAUCUUGAUUAGCUAAGGAAAUUAUUUGCACUUAGUUCUGAACACACAUUGGCAGAAUUGUUUUGAGCAGCUGGCUUGCAAGCAUUUUCAUAUUUCUGAAACUGGUGCUAGCUCCAUAGUGCUACCUAAUUUAGUAAAUAGUCUGAAUUUUAGCACGGUAUCAGGGUCACAAGUGUGUGGACUUCUUCACUGCAUUAGCUAUGGUGCUUUUCAGAAAGAUCUAGUUAAGAUGUGGUUAAUUGUUUGAAGAGGCUUGGAUUUCUAGCACAGCUUCAUUAUGGAAAGUAUUAUAACCUUGAGUUACAGAAAUGUGAGGCUAUGAAAUCCUUCUGGGGGAUUGCACUUAAGUAGCUUACACCUCAGCAGUUGAAAUGUUUAAACUUCAGAAGAUCUAGCAUUGUUAUUUAUUUUCAUCAGCAGAUAAAGGGGAGAAAAGGUCCUUCUCUAAAGUGGCUCUUCAUGGUACUUAAGCAUUCCUUGUGUAUUUUCCUUCUCUUUUGCAUUGUAUGAUUUUCCUGAUAGCCCUUAUCUUUGUUUGAAGAACAGUUUCAUUCAAAUCACAUUAGUGCUAUUCUUGAUGAAUGGCUGCACAAGACUUGCUUUUCAUUUCUCUCAGUUCUAGUCGCAUGGUUCCUCUGUAUUUUUCUAGCCUGUAAUCUUUUUGGCAACAUUCCUGUACUAAAUCUCUCUCUUAGAUUUACCUUCCUUGUUUUAGACUUUGAAGAACACUAAAUACAGAGGCAUAGGAAUUCAAGCACAAUUUUGACAAAGAAUACAUAGGUGCCACUAAAUACCUUUCACAAUAAGCUUCUAUUAUACAGGUAUCAAGGUUGCAUCUGGUAGAUCUGGGACCUUGCAAAGAGGAUCUGGUGUACCUAAAUAAAAUUAGGUUGCUGUUUUAAAAUCUAUUGGUGCUGGUGUAGUAGCAGAGGAAAGAUGAGAGGUCUGUUUCCUCUCCCUGUAUGUAGGCAAAGAGCUCUCUCUCUCUCCUGAAAUUCAGGGAAAUGGCCUGCAGGAAUAUUUGUUCCACCUAAAAAGGACUUCAAGAAUAAAAUUCACUAGUGUCUGCAUGUAACAGUGAAUAAAAUAACACUUUUACAUGGAAAGUCUCCUUUUGACUGGAAUCUGGAAAGUGAAGAACAGGUAAAUGAUUAGCAUAGUCUGAAGGGUGAGAGCAAGCUGAACAUUUCUCACAUACUAAGAGGAAAAUGUGUGUAGAGUGGGAAACUAGCCUCAUUUUAUCUUGGGGUGGAAAAAUGGUGGGUAGGGUGGAGGCUCUCUAUUUCAGCACUUGCUACUUGGCUUUAGACAAAACUUUUCCAAGUCAGCACAAUAAAUACUCCACAAGGCUUAGCUUUUCUUACAGACUAGAAGCUACAACUUGUUCUUCCAUGCAAAGCAGGGCUUAACAAAACAUUUGAAAGAUAGUUGGGGUUGUAAAGCCCUCAGAAUGAAACAUUUGCAUGGAAAAGUGACAAUGGCACAAGCAUACAGGCCCACAAACCGUCUUUUAUAGAGCUAGUAUUCUAAUUAUGCAUGGUUAAGAUGUCUAGUGUUAUAGUUAUUACCAGUAAAUUGAUAUAUGCAUUUAUACAUUAUGAAGCAAUAGGAACUGAUAUACCAAUAGCUUGAAUUUACUGCUUUGAUUCUCAGAUUUUUGUUUUUAGAGAACAUGCCCCUUUAGAAAAGGGGCCGAGUGUACAAAUAAGGGAAGAAGCAUGAUGCCAAAACUGUGUAAUGGAAAGAGGAAUCAGCAGAAUGAGCCCUUUUGACCUCUUACCAGGUUCACAGUGGUGCUUUGAGCCUGCAUAAUAUGAACAUGGUUGGUGGCAAGAUGGGUUUCUUGGCUGCUACAAUUGUACAAAUAAAAAGGUGCAGAGUUUCAGAGAGCAGAGAAGGCAAUAGAUGAAACUCAAAUAGGGUAACAGAAACACGGUCGUUAGUAAUAGAGGAAAUUCAAGUAUUUUUCACAUAGCAGACAGAAGGAACCUUGGUCAGAGGCUAUUGCAGCAAGUGAAUGAGUGAAUAAAAUUGGUAAGCAGUCUAUACUCUUCAGGUAUUGAACCAUUUCAAGGAGAGGUCUGUUUUUUUCAGGAUUCUUUUACCACCAGGGCAGCUAUACCAAGAUAAACUGGUUUCAAACCAGCAAUAAUGGUAUCUUACACAAUUCUGAAAAUUUCUGUCUGAUACACAUUCAAGACAAGCUAAAAUGUGCUAAGUAGGGAAGUUUUAAUCUUCUAAAGAACAAAUGGUAGCAACCCCCCUCCCCCCACCAUGACCCUGUGCCCCAGUUUUACUUCAGUUACACAAGUGAAUACCACAAUUCGAAAAGUGAAUGCAUAAUGAUAGCAAAUAAUUGCAGGAAACAUUAAUUAGUGGAUACUAGAAACAUCAGCAAAGCAAACCUCUUGCAGCAAAGAUUAGAUUGAAAUUGUUUUCCUAAGGCAAAGGUAUUCUUUAAAAAGAACCCCAAGUCAAAAUUAUCUAGUUAGGUGGCUAGACUAGUUUCUGAAGGGCGGUUUUUGCUUAAUAUAAACACUUUAUAUCAUUUUUUGUGCUUUUCCCUAGAUACAUUAAGGUAUGUCUAUUGUCCAUUAUAUAAGUGUUUUCCCCAAGCAUAUUUCCAGUUUGUUGCAAAGGUCAUAUUUUUCUUAAAUUGCAAUUGUCGGCAAUUUGUAACUGCCAAAUUGAUUGAGAAUGAAAUCAGGAGUGAAGUCUUCUGUUGAUAUGCAUUAGCUCAACUGCCCCUUUGAUUUCAUAUUAAUAGCAGAAUAGACCACAGCAUCUUAUGUCUAAAUUCCUCCCUAAAAACUCUGCUCCUCUUGACAUUGCAACUGUUUGCAGGUAGAACAACCAAAGGGAGGAAUUCAUUUUUGUGUUACUUAAUGUCUUCUUUUGUAACAACAAGAGUGUCUGACGUGGGAGGAAUGUACUGAAAAUAAUAGGUAGCAAAUGCUAGAGCCUUGGAAAACGUACAAGAAUUUGUCUAAAUCUUAAUAUAUGUAAUUAUUUAUUCACUUGAAAUAGGAGAUACAAGGAAGAUACAGGUCACACUUACUGUUGCACAGAUUAUGUAACAUUAUAAAAAAAUCUAGCCCUGUAUAUAUCAGAAAUUUUCCAAAAGGCAGCUUGCUUUUAUAUCUAUGCAUCUUUGGGGGAGGGGAAUAGGGGUGUUAAAUGUAUUCUUUUGACACUGUAACAAUUACUCAAAAGUGAACUUGGAAACUCUGCACCUGUAUACAAUUUUUUAGCAAUAAAGCAGCAUGGGCUGAGAAUGCA